GGCAAAUGCAGAAAGAUUUUUACAAAAUAGCAAAGUUUCCACGGGUGCUAGCUGCUGUAGACUGCACGCAUGUGAAAAUUCAAUCUCCAGGUGGUGACGACGCAGAAUUGUUCCGGAAUCGAAAAGGCUACUUUUCGAUAAAUGUACAAACGCUUUGUGACAGCAAAUUAAACAUUUUGGAUAUUGUAGCCCGUUGGCCAGGUUCGUCGCAUGACGCACAUAUACUAAGGAACUCGCGGAUAUUUAGCAAAUUUGAGGGAGGAGAAUUCGGGAAUGCUCUGGUCGUUGCCGAUGGCGGUUACCCUUGCAAUGGGUGGAUAAUGACUCCCUUGUUGAAGGUAGAAACUCAAGCUGAAGCAUUAUAUAAUGAGUCUCAAAUACGGACCCGCAAUUGUAUUGAG
rnacentral:misc_RNA from 1 species